AAAAAAAAAAAACUAUUGUUCUUAUUUCUUUUUAAUUCUGUUGCUAUUCUUUAAUUUUAGUGGAAUUUACAGCAGACUGAUCAUUGGGUGAAGUAGAAGACAAGUGCUUUAGCUUAGAAUAUCUUUGAGCUUGCUCAGAGACAUGAAUAAAAAUUUUACUUGAAGAGGCACAUGACUGGAAGCUUUCCACUCCAUGCAAGCCAAUACCACAGAGUUCUUUUUGGCCGGCCAACACAUAAUGGACCUCAGAGACUAAGCCGAUCAGAGAUGCUCAGUAUCCCGAAUCUAUCAAAUCAAAGUUGUUAGCUGCUUCAGCCAGGUGUUGGAAAGAGUUGCCUGCUUUUACGAUUCUCUGAUGGCUCCUUCACAACCAACUUCAUACC